GACGUGUGCGGGGCGGAGAGGCGGGACCGGAAAUCACUUCACGGUGGCCCGUCCCCUGUGGAUGACGCAUGCGCCUGGAGGACCCGGAAGCGGCGGGAACGCAGUGGCCACGUGGAUGAACUCAAGAAGUCAAUCCUAGUGUUUCCCAACCGGAAACCUCGGAUGAACUGGGAAAUUCACUCCCUACUAAAUGCCAGGCAUGCAGCAUUCAAGUCAGAUGACCCAGACCUAUACAGGAAAUCCAGAUAUGACCUCUGCAACACCAUCAGAGAUGCCAAGAUGCAGCAGCAGACCGAAUUAAGAGGCCCAAACCAACCACACGGACACCGCCCCCCCAACCUGUGGCAAGACCUGUACAAAAUAACAGGAUACAAAUGAAGCAGAGCAAUGACACAGCCCUCCCUGAUGCGCUCAGUGCUUUCAAUGUUCGGUUCAAACAGAAUGCCAGUGGCACGGUCAUGCUUGAUCCGACAGUGCCAGACAUACCUGUUCCCACCGUAACCACUGCAGAUACCAAAUCAUCCUCCCUGGGGGUCAACCCAAGGAAAAUGGUGGGCUGGGACAGAGUCCCGAAGCAAACAUUUAGAUCCUGUGUGGAUCAACUGGCAGAGGUGUUCACCCACAUCUUCAGCCUCUCCCUCCUGCAAGCCAAAGUCUCCAACUGCUUCAAGAAGAUCACCAUCAUCCCAGUGCCUAAGAAGGCACAUGAUCUCUAUAAUCAUGAAGUGCUUUGAUUCGAUUUGACUUGAUUUAUUUAUUAUCACGGGUACCUAAACGCAUUGAAAACCUCUGUUUAUGAGAAGCACAGGCAGAUCGUUAGUAAGCAAGGCCAUACAGAUCAUGGCGUGAAACAAAAACUGAGAGCAUCAAGGUUAUGUCUCAGAGGGCAUUCACAAGUCAAGAUCAACAUUGUUUGAGGGAAGAGAGUCCAUUUGUCAGUCUGAUAACACAAUUAAAGACCCAUCCCACCCUGGUAAUAACCUCCUGUAACCUCUUCUGUCAGGCACAAGAUACAGAAACCUGAACACACGCACAGAGUGUCAUACAGCAUGCUUCAGUCCAACUCUCCAUGUGACCAGGUAUUCUAAACUGAUUUAGUCCCAUUUGCCAGAGGCCUCCUCUGGAGCACUGUGUCCUUUUCUGGUCGCCAGUUAUCGGAAGGACAUUAUCAAGCUGGAGAGGAUUCAGAAGAGAUUUACCAGGAUGUUGCUAGGAAUGGAAUACUUCAGUUAUAAUGAAAGGCUAGAAUAGGAGGUUGAGAGGCAACCUGAUCAGAAAUUUAUAAAAUAAUGAGAGGUAUAGAUAGAAAUAAUGGUGACUGUGUUUUCCCCAGGGUGGGGAGAUUUCGAGAAUAGGGGGCACAUUCAUAAGGUGAGAGGAGAGAGAUUUCAAAAAGACUUAAGAGCGUGGUUCUCAUGUGGGAUGAACUUCCUCAGGAAGUGGUGGAUGCAGAAACAAUAAUGACAUUUAAAGAGCAUUUGGAUAGAUACAUGAUUAGAAAAGAUUUAGAUGGAUAUGGGCCAGGAUCAGGCAGAUGGGACUAGUCUAGUUUGGGAUUGUGUUCAGCAUGGACUGGUUGGACUGAAGGGUCUGUUUUUGUGCUGUAUGACUCUAUAUGCUUGGGAUUUUCCUUUAACAAUUGCAGCAAAUGCCAAAUUCCAGUGUUUGUUGUUCUUGACAUGCAAAGACUGUACAGAAAUGCCUCACUAACUGUGUGUAUAUGUAAAGACUCUCAUGAAUUAAGUUUUUUUUAAAGCUUAGAUUCCCUACAGUGUGGAAACAGGCCCCUAUAACCCACACACCCCGAACACUAUGGGCAAUUUAGCAUGGCCAAUCCAUCUAGCCUGCACAUCUUUGGACUGUGGGAGGAAACCCACGCAAACACGGGGAGAAUGUGCAAACUCCACACACAAUCCCCCGAGAAUAGAAUUGAACCCGGGUCCCUGGUGCUGUGAGGCUGCUGUGCUAACCACUGAGCCACCCUGCCACCCUAAACUUUUACAGAAAAUAAGUCACUGGAAGGAAAUUCUACCAGAAAGCCGCUCAGCACCAUUUUCUCAAAGAAGUCAAUCCGGUUGGUCAAGACCUCUGAUGAAGGGUCUAGGCCUGAAACGUCAGCUUUUGUGCUCCUGAGAUGCUGCUGGGCCUGCUGUGUUCAUCCAGCCCAACAUUUCGUUAUCUCACUCCUUAUCACUCGAUCACUUUCCUUUUUCCAAGUUGGCUGUACUUUGUGAUAUUUUCAGUUGACAUUUUUCUGUUGCAUUUCAGAGUAAGAGCUCCAUGGCCUUUCUGACAAAUAAUAUGAAACUUCUCAGUUUGAAUGACAAUUUGUAAAAGUGUAGAUGUGAUACCAGUGUGUGCUGGUAGAUAUUUCUGUGAACCUGCUCAAACAUGUCAUAGCACACCUUUGGAACAGUGGGAUUUGAAUACAGAGUUCCUGGCUCAGAGACCUACCACUGUGCAAAAUAAAAAGCCUCAAAUGUGAGCCGAGCUUAUAUAUUCCAUUACUACAAGCUUACAUCCAGUGGUCUCUUUGGUGGAAAAGUUACACCUUUCCCAGGCAAAAGAGUUUGAGUGGCUCGUGUCUUCCUCAGUUUACCCACCUCACAUAAGGAAUAUGGAGUUACUUUUCAUUUUGACAAGAAAUGCACUGUAACUCCAAGGUGUAUGUUGCAUCUGGCCUUAGAGCUGCAGUUCAAACUAAAACCUGGUCUGUUGUAUUCUCAGUCGGGGCUAUUUACUUUGCGUUGACUCUGUGGAUGAUGCUAAAUCCCAUUGAUUUACCCCACAGCCCUCAGAUAUUUGCACAAAGGUGUCCCAUCUUCUAACAAUAGAAAUCUUUAAACCAUCAGACAUCAUUUCCAUCCCGAGCACCUUUCCCCCCAGACUGUGGAGAUGGUCCUGGGAGAUUCCCAGCUGACCGUCCUUGCCUCACGCUAAUUGCCUUCCUUUUGUCCUCCCACAAUUUUGAUGUUGACAGAAAAGAAAUCAUUUUAACUUGUGGAACAUCACUGGUAAUUGCCAAUCAUUCCAGAAGUCAAAUCCAGUAAAACUUACAAAUGAUGCAUGUGGUCCGACUGGUUUUAUACACUUCAAAACAAUGCUCCAAUACAACUAGUACAUUUAUUUCCAAAGUUUACUACUUUUUUAAAAAAAUAGUUUUUCCUUCUCAGAUCACAGUUGUGUUGGAAUUAUCUGGUUCUGUACGUGAGUACGUAGUAACAGAGAGAGCGAAUGCUUAAAUCCCUUUCAAGGAAUUAAAAGAGUCUCUGACAUGAUCUGCAGCCAAUGAUCAAAAUUAUUUUUCUUUGCCCUCACAAAUUCUUGUGUUAUGUGUUAUGAAAAUGGUCUGUUUUGUCACCUCAAUAUCUUUAGAAGCCUUUUCAGAAAGCAAGGUGCGAAUCAUAUCAGUUAUUCCCAUCAGUCUGCUUUGCAGGAGCGGUGGCAGCGUCCAGUUUUCUUUCUGUCAUUUGUUUCACCACUUUUUCAAGAGAAAUGAAAAUGCUUCUAUGUCCAUUCAUCAAACUUCAGAAAGGCUUUCACAAAUUUAAAAAUCUUCCCACCUGUUCUUGGGUUGAAUGUAGACGCUUCCCCAUAGAAAAGCUCCUCAGAGACUCAGCCAUCCUCUUUCUCCAUUCCAGCUUUCUAACCCAUUAUUCCCUUUCACAUACCCUUUUCAUUCUCCUGCCUCUGUUUCACUGUUCAAUCUCUUUCACUUUCUUUCUCCUCCACCUGAUAUUGCAGAUUCAUUUUUUUUUCAAAACUCUCUCAUUUGCCCUUUCUUCGCGUUGCAGUGUUCAUCAAGCUCAAGUGUCCCCAUUUCAAGUCCUUGUUCAAGCUGCUCCAUCAGUGAUUCAAUUGCCUCACCAGUUGUAAUAGCUCACCUCUUUUUCAGUUUCAAAUGCUGUACUAUUACUUCAAUUAUGUCUGAUUUACUUGUUCCUGCUUUUAAUCCUAACUUCAAUGUCUCCACCAUUUCCAACAGCCCAGCUUUGCUUGUUAUUUGUCUGUCUCUCAGCUAUAAAACGUCCAUUUCCAGAAUAAGUGUCCCUUACUGACGUGUUUUUGUAUGACAAACAUGAGGCUGGAAGAACAGAACAGGCCAGGAAGCAUCUGGAAGAAAGGACCAGUCAAUGCUUCGGGGAUUGCCCUUCAUCAAGACAGGGGGUGGGGAUAGGUGGAGCUGCAGACAAAGGGGGAGAGGAGUGAAAAAUGCGGGAUGGUGGUGAUA